rnacentral:misc_RNA from 1 species
AUACUCCAAAAAGACCUUUCCAACCCCAGGUGUAGGUUCACCAUCAGACCUUGGGCGUGGGAUGACUAAAUUCACUAAAUUGCCAAAUUUCCCACAUUCCAUUCUCAUAUCUUCCACUAUAUCUUCAUAGUCUUCAUCAUCUUUGAGCUCAUCCGGGCUAACCACAUGUGUUAGGCAUAAGACUUUAGUAGGAGGCCCUCCAGGUUGUAGCAUGAGUCUCUGCAGUGCUAUUUGUUGCUGAGCAUGCAUUAAUACAAUCUCCUGCUCUGGCUUAGGCUGUAAAGUACCUUGACUUGCACGCCUGACAGUAAGAGUUUUAUCACCCAUCUUGAUACCAUUAAGAGCUGUACAGGCAAUAUCAGUUACUGAUACAUCAGCAUAGACACAAAACGCAUAGCCUUUCGAGUUUCCAGUUUCUUUAUCUUUGACCAGAUUAAACCCCCGAAGAGGGCCAAAGGACUCCAGCAACUCCCUAAUCUGAGCUUCAGUGAAAUAGUAAGGCAGGCCUCCCACAAAGAUACGGUCAGGACCUUCAAGCCCACCUGUGGAUCCUGGUGACAAUCCAACUGCAGCAAGGUUAAGGUUUGGAUUUGGUUGGCUCGGACCAAGAGUUGCAGCCAGAGAGGGAUUAUAGUCAGUCGGUCUUCUGACCUUAACUUGUGUUCCCUCAAAGAUAAUGCCAUCUAAGGCCAUGGCAUUGCUGGCCUCCUCCACAGAUCUCAUCUCAACAAAAGCAAACUUUUUCUCAUGGUUUAUAUAAACAUUGACGACUGCAUCACCUGGACCGGCAGUGUUUCCACCAAUUGCUGACAUAACAUGAUUGAAGUAUGUAGCCACUGACUGUUCAUUUGCAGUCGGAGGAAGUCCACCAACGUAAACUCGCCUUGCAUGUCUAGUUGCCUGCUGAGUCAUUGCCUGAACAGGCAGAACAGGAAUAGCUCCAAGCGGUCCAGAGGCCAAAGGGAACAUGUUAGGAAGCAUUCCAGGAAUAGCUGGGGCAGUGCCAGGGAGUAGACCUGCAGAAGCUGUAAGAGCAGGAGCACCAGAUA